AUGUGUCCCCUCGGAUUUUCUCUCGCCGUCUUCUUAUUAUUUGCAUGCUUGCUACUUCGUCGCACUCUAACAUGGCAAAUAAAACAAGGAGAAAAAAAUCAAAGUGUAAAUCACUGGACCUUGCUAUCUUCUCAUGUGAAUGUACUUAUAUAUAAGGAAAACAUUAUUGAUUGGAGGUCGAUGGUGUAUUUAUUAUUGGCUCUUGUCUGCGUGUGGCAUUGUUGCAUUAUAGGUUCGAUCCAAGUUCAUCAACUCAUGAAGAGACGCGGGCUAUAUUUCAACACUUCUCCUCACAGCUAA
rnacentral:rRNA from 1 species